ensembl:lncRNA
CUCCCCUUCCUUCGUUCGUGUGGCGGCGGCAGGAGCGCGGUGUCCCGGAGUGGGGCUGUGGAGCCGCCUGCCCACGAUGUCCCAAGAUGUCAUAGAGCCAUCAAGGCUGGAAGAGACUUUUAAGGAUGUUGAAACAUUCAAUCCAUUAAGGCUUAUGAAGUUGUUUGGCAUAUUAUCUAGGCUCACAUGCCCUUAUCAUUUGAGCUGCAGAAGAUCCUCUGUAGAGAAGAGAGCAAAGCCAGUGCUGUGCCCCGCAGACAUGGUUAGAAUGCAACAGCCAGCCUGGUGCGGUCUGGGGAGCAGCACCGUGCCUCCUGCUUUUGCUGACUGACCUCACAGCUCCUGCUUAUUUCAAGUAUUGCACAAGAACAGAGCUUUGCAUUGUCUUCAGAAUAAAGAUAAUGUGCUUCAAGCUACUGACA